rnacentral:rRNA from 1 species
GACGAACGCUGGCGGCGUGCCUAAUACAUGCAAGUAGAACGCUGAAGGAGGAGCUUGCUUCUCUGGAUGAGUUGCGAACGGGUGAGUAACGCGUAGGUAACCUGCCUGGUAGCGGGGGAUAACUAUUGGAAUCGAUAGCUAAUACCGCAUAAUAGCAGUUAUUGCAUGAUAACUGUUUGAAAGGUGCAAUUGCACCACUACCAGAUGGACCUGCGUUGUAUUAGCUAGUUGGUGGGGUAACGGCUCACCAAGGCGACGAUACAUAGCCGACCUGAGAGGGUGAUCGGCCACACUGGGACUGAGACACGGCCCAGACUCCUACGGGAGGCAGCAGUAGUGAAUCUUCGGCAAUGGACGGAAGUCUGACCGAGCAACGCCGCGUGAGUGAAGAAGGUUUUCGGAUCGUAAAGCUCUGUUGUAAGAGAAGAACGAGUGUGAGAGUGGAAAGUUCACACUGUGACGGUAUCUUACCAGAAAGAGACGGCUAACUACGUG